rnacentral:rRNA from 1 species
UACGUAGGGUGCGAGCGUUGUCCGGAAUUAUUGGGCGUAAAGAGCUCGUAGGCGGCCUGUUGCGUCCGCUGUGAAAGCCCGGGGCUUAACCCCGGGUCUGCAGUGGAUACGGGCAGGCUAGAGUUCGGCAGGGGAGACUGGAAUUCCUGGUGUAGCGGUGAAAUGCGCAGAUAUCAGGAGGAACACCGGUGGCGAAGGCGGAUCUCUGGGCCUUACCUGACACUCAGGCGCGAAAGCUAGGGGAGCGAACAGG